UAAGUAUAUAUAUGGUAGUUGUUGAAGCAGUUCUUGUCUCGUUUGACAAUAUAAACAUCCUAUUUAUAUCAUAUAUGCAUGCUUGUUAUUUGAUGUAUGAUGAUCAUCUGCCUAAAUUGAUAUUUACAUGGUGAAUGCACGUGGCACGUAAUCUCACCGUCAACUGCUAUUAAAAUCUAUUAUAUGUUGUUAAUAUGAAUGAUGAUGGUGAUGAUAUUACACACAUAAUGUUAUGGAUAGUCGACACAUAUGUAA
rnacentral:lncRNA from 1 species